rnacentral:ncRNA from 1 species
GAGCUCUUGCAAAAGAAAAGACAGUUAGUACUCCCUUUGACAAGGAUGAAAGAAACCCUUGGAUUUAAGAACAUGCAUAUGGUUAAGAUUUUACCAUCUACUUCAUGCAAACAAAGGAAUGUAUUUA